UCCAUGAUAGCUCAGUUGGUAGAGAAUCUGCCUGCAAAGCAGGAGACCCUGGUUCAAUUCCUGGGUCAGGAA
rnacentral:tRNA from 1 species